GCGGGUAUAGCGUAGCGGCAACGUACCGGUUUUCCAAACCGGAGAGGCUGGUUCGAAUCCGGCUACCCGCU
rnacentral:tRNA from 1 species